AGAUUGAACGCUAGCGGGAUGCUUUACACAUGCAAGUCGAACGGCAGCGCGGACUUCGGUCUGGCGGCGAGUGGCGAACGGGUGAGUAAUAUAUCGGAACGUGCCCAGUAGCGGGGGAUAACUACGCGAAAGCGUGGCUAAUACCGCAUACGCCCUACGGGGGAAAGGGGGGGAUCGCAAGACCUCUCACUAUUGGAGCGGCCGAUAUCAGAUUAGCUAGUUGGUGAGGUAAAGGCUCACCAAGGCGACGAUCUGUAGCUGGUUUGAGAGGACGACCAGCCACACUGGGACUGAGACACGGCCCAGACUCCGUACGGGAGCAGCAGUGGGUAAUUUGGACAAGUGGGGGAAACCCUGAUCCAGCCAUCCGCGUGUGCGAUGAACGGCCGUUACGGGUGUAAA
rnacentral:rRNA from 1 species